rnacentral:rRNA from 1 species
UACGUAGGGUGCAAGCGUUUGUCCGGAAUUAUUGGGCGUAAAGAGCUCGUAGGCGGUUUGUCGCGUCUGCUGUGAAAAUCCAGGGCUUAACCCUGGACCUGCAGUGGGUACGGGCAGACUAGAGUGCGGUAGGGGAGAUCGGAAUUCCUGGUGUAGCGGUGAAAUGCGCAGAUAUCAGGGAGGAACACCGGUGGCGAAGGCGGGAUCUCUGGGCCGUAACUGACGCUGAGGAGCGAAAGCAUGGGGGAGCGAACAGGA